rnacentral:rRNA from 1 species
ACUGAGACACGGCCCAGACUCCUACGGGAGGCAGCAGUGGGGAAUAUUGGACAAUGGGCGAAAGCCUGAUCCAGCAAUGCCGCGUGGGUGAAGAAGGUCUUCGGAUUGUAAAGCCCUUUCGACGGGGACGAUGAUGACGGUACCCGUAGAAGAAGCCCCGGCUAACUUCGUGCCAGCAGCCGCGGUAAUACGAAGGGGGCUAGCGUUGCUCGGAUUGACUGGGCGUAAAGGGCGCGUAGGCGGCUUGUACAGUCAGACGUGAAAUUCCUGGGCUCAACCUGGGGGCUGCGUUUGAUACGUGCGGGCUUGAGUUCGGAAGAGGGUCGUGGAAUUCCCAGUGUAGAGGUGAAAUUCGUAGAUAUUGGGAAGAACACCGGUGGCGAAGGCGGCGACCUGGUCCGAUACUGACGCUGAGGCGCGAAAGCGUGGGGAGCAAACAGGAUUAGAUACCCUGGUAGUCCACGCCGUAAACGAUGUGUGCUGGAUGUUGGGUGACCUAGUCACUCAGUGUCGUAGCUAACGCGAUAAGCACACCGCCUGGGGAGUACGGCCGCAAGGUGAAACUCAAAGGAAUGA